rnacentral:tRNA from 1 species
CCAUUGGAGGUUCAGUGGUAGAAUUCUCGCCUGCCACUUGGUAGACCUGGGUCCGAUUCCCGGCCAAUGCA